AAGCAGGUUAAGGGUUGCUACGUCGGGAGAGAUAAGCCAAGUAAAAGUCAUGGUUGUUAGAAAAGGUUGGAGGGGAUGGGCCGACAGAAGAAAACAAAUCUCUGUCAUACCCGAAAUAGUUUCAAAAUAUACUGUAUACGAUUAAGAUAUAUUUGGUCAGCAUUGACAGUCCAACUUGCUAUUUAGAAGUGACAUUGUGCAAAUGAUUGAUUUUGCCAUUUCAAAUGAAAAUCUAAUGAUUUAAGCAUUGUUCUGUAUUUAUUCAUUCUUUGCAAAAGAAAAUGUUUACCAGUUCUCUUUAUGUGAUUGUCUCAUGAUUACAAGGAAUCAACUCGAACAACUUGGCUAGGGGGCACAGCAAGUUCUGGGGCAGAAGUCUUCAGUACUAUUGCCAGAAUAUGUCAGGGCCCUUGACUUUGCAGGGACUUCAGCUGUUUCUUGAUAUCGCGUGUAGUGAAUCGAAUUGGCUGAAGACUUGCGCCUGUUAUGUCUGCUUCCUUGAAGAAAUUCCUGGAAACAGUCAUUCCAUCAGCCUUUAUAGUGAAAAUAGAAAAUAGAAUAGAGGAAUAAACAAUUGGCAGAUUUUAAAAUGGUUCAGAUACUGGACGUAGGUGUCAAUACGAUGGAAAUAUUAAAGGUUUGGGAGAAUGAAAAUGAAAGCAUCUUUGAGGAAUCUGGUUAUUACAACAGAAAACAGAAUUGGAACAGCAAUAUUAGGUGAAUGAAUCCCAAGAAUGUCGAAGGAACAGAUAACUGGUGUUUCAGGCCUGGUGCAUUCUGGGUAAUGCAAUCCACGUCCGUCCUUGGCUGUGCUCUCAUCCUCCCCCGAAGGCACUGAAGGACUCCAUGUGCUAUUUUCAGAGCAUGUGCUCCUCCAUGGAUGAUUUAAAUGUCUUCACCCAAGAUGGUGGAGUGCAGAUGCGGUUCCAUCCAUGACCUAUUUUAAGAGAAUAAAAAGCCAUUGCUGAUUGUCACUCAGUUGAAGAGAACUGGUUAAGGAUCCUUCCCCCAAACCUUUCACAUACCUGGUACUUCACUGGAUUAGAGAAUAUAAUCUUCACAAUGUCUUUCUCCCUAGUCCUCUCCUGCUGGUUAAACUGAAGUAAAUUGAAAUGUUUUUUGGCAAUAAGACUAUGUGGUUGCUGACUAUGAGUCAGAUGUUAUGCUUGUGAUUGGCUGUUGGCUGACGCUGAUUGAAUUUCCCUUAGUAUGGUACAAGUGGAUUCUGUCUUGAAAUUGUUUGCAAACUGGAACCUGGCCAAGCUGCAAAUCUGUUGUCAUAACAACUGAGCACCGAAGACAAUGACUGUUGAUAGCUCUUAGUUUUUCAGGAACUUUGGGAAUUAUGAAGAGAAUUUCAAUGUAGAAAUGUCUGCACAAGUUCCUCAUUAAUUAGCUUAAUUACCUCUCACAGUGGGAAAGUAAACUCGCAUUGGAAAAUGAGAGACAACCCUCUGAUUUUUUUAAAGUUUUAAACAUUUAGCUGAAGAAAAGAUUUUUCUCUAAAUUUGCUCCCAUCUUCAUGAUAGAAAAUGGCAGCCAAAUGAGUAGGUUAAUAAAAAUAGGCAAAAAAUAUGGGAUAUUUCAGUCAAAGCAGAUAUAAAGUUAAAUUAAAGUGUAAAGAAGACUAGAGGGAAAAUAGGAAUGACAAGCAGAAAUAAACUGCAUAUUUGUUUGCCUUGUUUAAAAUGUUAUUUUUAGUAGUUUAAAGUUAAUAAUACUGUAAAAUAAAUUGAG